rnacentral:other from 1 species
UUACCCCUGCGAUGUACGUGAUUGUCAUUUGUUUUUGAGCCAACACUUUGAACCUGGGGCCUAUAUCUUGUUUGUGGUGCGCAUGUCCGCUUUAUUCCGCCCUGCGGAUGGCAGAAAGCCUGAAACAAACAACACCGGGCGCCCACUUAUUUAAAGGUUCAAAAUCGUGAUUACACGGCAUAGGCGGGGGUUUU